rnacentral:rRNA from 1 species
UGAAUAUUGCACAAUGGGCGCAAGCCUGAUGCAGCCAUGCCGCGUGUAUGAAGAAGGCCUUCGGGUUGUAAAGUACUUUCAGCGGGGAGGAAGGGCGUGAAGGUAAUAACCUCAUUCAUUGACGUUACCCGCCGAAGAAGCACCGGCUAACUCCGUGCCAGCAGCCACGGUAAUACGGAGGGUGCAAGCGUUAAUCGGAAUUACUGGGCGUAAAGCGCACGCAGGCGGUCUGUCAAGUCGGAUGUGAAAUCCCCGGGCUAAACCUGGGAACUGCAUUCGAAACUGGCAGGCUGGAGUCUUGUAGAGGGGGGUAGAAUUCCAGGUGUAGCGGUGAAAUGCGUAGAGAUCUGGAGGAAUACCGGUGGCGAAGGCGGCCCCCUGGACAAAGACUGACGCUCAGGUGCGAAAGCGUGGGGAGC